rnacentral:rRNA from 1 species
GACGAACGCUGGCGGCGUGGAUUAGGCAUGCAAGUCGAACGGUAUCAUCCUUUCGGGGGUGAGAGAGUGGCGAACUGGUGAGUAACACGUAGGUUAUCUACCCUCAAGACGGGGACAACCCAGGGAAACUUGGGCCAAUACCGGAUGUGAGCAACUUUUAGUUGUUUGAAAGGUGGCGUAAGCUGUCGCUUGGGGAUGAGCCUGCGUCCUAUUAGUUAGUUGGUGAGGUAACGGCUCACCUAGGCAAUGAUAGGUAGGCGGCCUUAACGGGUGGUCGCCCACACUGGGAUUGAGACACGGCCCAGACUCCUACGGGAGGCAGCAGUGGGGAAUAUUGGGCAAUGGCGAAAGCCUGACCCAGCGACGCCGCGUGAAGGAUGAAGGUCUUCGGAUUGUAAACUUCUUUGAUCAGGGAAGAAAGAAAUGACGGUACCUGAAGAACAAGCCACGGCUAACUACGUG